rnacentral:rRNA from 1 species
UACGUAGGGUGCAAGCGUUGUCCGGAAUUAUUGGGCGUAAAGAGCUCGUAGGCGGUCUGUCGCGUCGGCUGUGAAAUCCCGAGGCUCAACCUCGGGUCUGCAGUCGAUACGAGCAAACUAGAGUGUUGCAGGGGAGACUGGAAUUCCUGGUGUAGCGGUGGAAUGCGCAGAUAUCAGGAGGAACACCGGUGGCGAAGGCGGGUCUCUGGGCAGUAACUGACGCUGAGGAGCGAAAGCGUGGGGGAGCGAACAGGG